rnacentral:tRNA from 1 species
CGCACUUCGGCAUGCAGGUCGGUGGCGCUGGAGCGCUCUUGCCGCUCCUGGCGUUCGAACAGGAAGCUGCCGCGUUCUUCGCGCAGGUGCACC